rnacentral:rRNA from 1 species
GUCCACGCCCUAACGAUGAUCACUGGGUGUUCGGGAGCGAUCUCUGAGUACCGAAGCUAACGCGUGAAGUGAUCCGCCUGGGGAGUACGGUCGCAAGAUUAAACUACAAGGAAUUGACGGGGACCCGCACAAGCGGUGGAUGAUGUGGAUUAAUUCGAUGCAACGCGAACAACCUUACCUACCCUUGACAUGUCCGGAAGGCCGCCGAGAGGUGGUUGUGCCCGAAAGGGAACCGGAACACAGGUGCUGCAUGGCUGUCGU